GGAUUGGCGAGUUCGAAAGGCACCGGUCUCCAAAACCGGCGAUUCCAGGUUCGAGUCCUGGGUGCCCCG
rnacentral:tRNA from 1 species